GACGAACGCUGGCGGCGUGCCUAAUACAUGCAAGUCGAACGCUGAAGGAGGAGCUUGCUUCUCUGGAUGAGUUGCGAACGGGUGAGUAACGCGUAGGUAACCUGCCUGGUAGCGGGGGAUAACUAUUGGAAACGAUAGCUAAUACCGCAUAAGAGUAGAUGUUGCAUGACAUUUGCUUAAAAGGUGCAAUUGCAUCACUACCAGAUGGACCUGCGUUGUAUUAGCUAGUUGGUGGGGUAACGGCUCACCAAGGCGACGAUACAUAGCCGACCUGAGAGGGUGAUCGGCCACACUGGGACUGAGACACGGCCCAGACUCCUACGGGAGGCAGCAGUAGGGAAUCUUCGGCAAUGGACGGAAGUCUGACCGAGCAACGCCGCGUGAGUGAAGAAGGUUGUCGGAUCGUAAAGCUCGGUUGUAAGAGAAGAACGAGUGUGAGAGUGGAAAGUUCACACUGUGACGGUAUCUUACCAGAAAGGGACGGCUAACUACGUG
rnacentral:rRNA from 1 species